rnacentral:rRNA from 1 species
GAGGAAACAAUUAACCACAUUCUACUCACUUGCGUCUUUGCUAGGACUACUUGGGUGAGGAUCUGUGAGGCCUUGGGCAAGCCGGAUUGGACCCCAUCUCAACAAGACACGCUGGCGGAAUGGGCAGUUGCCAAGCGAGGAUUAGAUGGCAUGAGCAUGAAAGACCUUCGUACUAUUGUUGCGCUAGUAUGGUGGGAGUUGUGGAAGCAUAGGAAUGCAAUUAUCUUCGAUGGAGCGCGCCCUUCAAUAGAGUUUCUACUAGGGAGAGUGAGGCAGAGGGCCCAGUGUGGGCAUCUGCCGGGCUAA